UACGAAGGGGGCUAGCGUUGCUCGGAAUUACUGGGCGUAAAGGGCGCGUAGGCGGCGAUGUUAGUCAGGCGUGAAAGCCCUGGGCUCAACCUGGGGACUGCGCUUGAUACGGCAUGGCUAGAGGAUGGAAGAGGGUCGCGGAAUUCCCAGUGUAGAGGUGAAAUUCGUAGAUAUUGGGAAGAACACCGGUGGCGAAGGCGGCGACCUGGUCCAUUACUGACGCUGAGGCGCGACAGCGUGGGGAGCAAACAGG
rnacentral:rRNA from 1 species